rnacentral:rRNA from 1 species
AGGACGAACGCUGGCGGCGUGCUUAACACAUGCAAGUCGAGCGGAAAGGCCCUUCGGGGUACUCGAGCGGCGAACGGGUGAGUAACACGUGAGCAACCUGCCCUUAGCUCUGGGAUAGCUCCGGGAAACCGGAAUUAAUACCGGAUACGACCUAGGCCGACAUCGGCCAUGGUGGAAAGUUUUUCGGCUAGGGAUGGACUCGCGGCCUAUCAGCUAGUUGGUGGGGUAAAGGCCUACCAAGGCGACGACGGGUAGCCGGCCUGAGAGGGCGACCGGCCACACUGGGACUGAGACACGGCCCAGACUCCUACGGGAGGCAGCAGUGGGGAAUCUUGCGCAAUGGGCGAAAGCCUGACGCAGCGACGCCGCGUGGGGAUGAAGGCCUUCGGUUGUAAACCCCUUUCAGCAGGGACGAAGCGAAGUGACGGUACCUGCAGAAGAAGCGCCGGCUAACUACGCGCCAGCAGCCGC